CCUACGGGAGGCAGCAGUGAGGAAUAUUGGUCAAUGGACGAGAGUCUGAACCAGCCAAGUAGCGUGAAGGAUGACUGCCCUAUGGGUUGUAAACUUCUUUUAUAUGGGAAUAAAACGUUCCACGUGUGGGAUUUUGUAUGUACCAUAUGAAUAAGGAUCGGCUAACUCCGUGCCAGCAGCCGCGGUAAUACGGAGGAUCCGAGCGUUAUCCGGAUUUAUUGGGUUUAAAGGGAGCGUAGGUGGAUUGUUAAGUCAGUUGUGAAAGUUUGCGGCUCAACCGUAAAAUUGCAGUUGAAACUGGCAGUCUUGAGUACAGUAGAGGUGGGCGGAAUUCGGUGUGUAGCGGUGAAAUGCUUAGAUAUCACGAAGAACUCCGAUUGCGAAGGCAGUUCACUGGACUGCAACUGACACUGAGGCUCGAAAGUGUGGGUAUCAAACAGGAUUAGAUACCCUUGUAGUC
rnacentral:rRNA from 1 species